rnacentral:rRNA from 1 species
GACGAACGCUGGCGGCGUGCCUAAUACAUGCAAGUCGAACGCAGUGGGGACGGGAGAGUAACACGUGGGUCACCUCCCAGAAGAGGGGAUAACACUUGGAAACAGGUGCUAAACCGAUACUGAUGGAUGGACCCGCGGUGGAUUAGCUAGUUGGUGAGUGAACGGCGCACCAAGGACACGAUGCAUAGCCGACCGUAGAGGGAGACCGGCCACACUGAUACUGAGACACGGCCCAGACUACCACGGAAGGCAGCAGUAGGGAAGGUGUGGUAAUGAACGAAAGUCUGACCGAGCAACGCCGCGUGAGUGAAGAAGGUUUGCGGAUCGUAAAACUCGGUUGUUAGGGAAGCGGUAUCUAACCAGAAAGCAACGGCUAACUACGUGCCAGCAGCCGCGGUAAUUC